AUUGAACGCUGGCGGCAUGCUUUACACAUGCAAGUCGAACGGUAACAGGGAGCUUGCUCCGCUGACGAGUGGCGAACGGGUGAGUAAUGCGUCGGAACGUGCCGAGUAGUGGGGGAUAACGCAGCGAAAGUUGUGCUAAUACCGCAUACGUACUGAGGUAGAAAGUGGGGGACCUUCGGGCCUCACGCUAUUCGAGCGGCCGACGUCUGAUUAGCUAGUAGGUGAGGUAAAGGCUCACCUAGGCGACGAUCAGUAGCGGGUCUGAGAGGAUGAUCCGCCACACUGGGACUGGGACACGGCCCAGACUCCUACGGGAGGCAGCAGUGGGGAAUUUUGGACAAUGGGCGAAAGCCUGAUCCAGCCAUGCCGCGUGUCUAAAGAAGGCCUUCGGGUUGUAAAGGACUUUUGUCGGGGAGGAAAUCCCCAGCGCUAAUACCGCUGGGGGAUGACAGUACCUGAAGAAUAAGCACCGGCUAACUACGUGCCAGCCGCCGCCGUAAGAC
rnacentral:rRNA from 1 species